GAUGAACGCUGGCGGCGUGCCUAAUACAUGCAAGUCGAGCGAACAGACGGGGAGCUUGCUCCUCUGACGUUAGCGGCGGACGGGUGAGUAACACGUGGAUAACCUACCUAUAAGACUGGGAUAACUUCGCGAAACCGGAGCUAAUGCCGGAUAAUAUAUUGAACCGCGUGGUGCAAUAGUGAAAGACGGUUUUGCUGUCGCUUAUAGAUGGAUACGCGUCGCAUUAGCUAGUUGGUAAGGUAACGGCUUACCAAGGCAACGAUGCGUAGCCGACCUGAGAGGGUGAUCGGCCAGACUGGAACUGAGACACGGUCCAGACUCCUACGGGAGGCAGCAGUAGGGACUCCUCCGCAAUGGGCGAGAGCCUGACGUAGCAACGCCGCGUGAGUGAUGAAGGUCUUCGGAUCGGAAAGCUCUGUUAGUAGUGAAGAACAAAUGUGUAAGUAGCUAGGCACGUCUUGACGGUACCUAAUCAGAAAGCCACGGCUAACUACGUG
rnacentral:rRNA from 1 species